AUACUUACUUGGGCAGCACAUACACUAAAAUUGGAACAAUAUGGAAAAGAUGUGUGGCCCUACACAUGGAUGACAUGCAAACUUUGAAUGUUCCAUACUUUU
rnacentral:snRNA from 1 species